CUUUUUAAAACAGCUUGAUCUUCAUGCCAUUCAUAUAUUUUUUAAAUUCAAUUUUUUAAAUUAUCUCUACACUGCAGUGAGGGGUUUGAACUUAACAACCCUGAGACCAAGAGUCAGUCACAUGCUCUAUUGACUGAGCCAUACAGGCGCCCCCAUACCAUUCAUAUUUUUUGACAUGAAAACUUAACUCAAGGUUCAUCCAGGGAUAAGCUAAGAAUGUGUGUGUGUGUAUGUGCAUCGGUGCCUUUGAUAAUUCUUUCUUACCUUGGAGAUACUCUAUCUAACAUCUUGGACAUUCUUUGUUAAAGAAAGAUUCUCCUUUCUUUUUGGUAAAUAAAGAUUCUCCAAUAGGGUAACUUAGAAACCUAGGUGAGUUUUAUUUGGAUUUUUCCAGCUUGGAUGGUAUGGGAGAGUAGAAGAAUGAUUUUUCUUUUUCAUUCAUUUAACAGGGUCUUUCACAAAGCCAAAAGUUUUACAUUUUGACCAGGUCCAUUUUAUCAAGUUUUCCUUUUAUGGUUUGUGCUUUUGAUGUCUAAGCAUUCUUUCUAGUCCCAAAUUCAAAGAUUUUUUGUUUCUUCUAAAAGUUUUUAGUUUUAUUUAUGUUUUACAUUUAAACCCAUGAUCCAUUUUAAGUUAAUUUUUGUGUAGAUUUGAGAGGGUUGUUUUUGCUUUUGCUUACAGAUGUACAAUUACAGCACCAGUGCAUUACUUUUGUACCUCUGUCAGAAAUUAUUUGGGCAUAUUUGUCUGUUUCUGGUUCUCUGUUGUGUUCCAUUGAUCUAUGUGCUCUCCCCCUGUCAGUACCAUGCUGUCUUAAUUACUCUGUAUAGAAAGCCUUAACAUCAAGAAGAAAGAUUACUUCCAUUUUAUUCUUCUUUUUCAAAAUUGUUUUAGGGCCUUUCCCUUUCUGUAUAAAUUUUACAAUAACCUUGUCUAUGUCAGUUGGGGAGAAUUGAUAUCUGGUUGAAUCUUCCAAUCCUUGAAUAUAGUAAAUCUCUCCAAUUAUUUAAUUUCCUUUGCUUUUUUCCAUAGUAUUUUGUCUUUUUCAGUGUACAGAUCCUGUACAUGUUUGUUAGAUUUAUACCUAAGUGUUUAGGUUUUUUUUAGAACAAUUGUAAAUAAUAUUGCGUAUUUUCAUUGGAGCUAUCAUAAAUUCCAUUGUGUUCAUUUUUACUUGUUUCUUGUUAGGAUAUAGAAAUGCAACUGACUUUGGUUUAUUGAUCUUUAUACCUUGUAACAUUAGUUUUAGGAGUGAUGAUUUUUAUUCUUGUUAUGUUUUUAAUAUUCCUUGUGAUACUCUAUGUACACAGUCGUCUGCAAAUAGAGAUGGUUUUAUUUCUUUUUUUUCCAGUUAUUCCAGUUUAUUCCAAUUAUUAUACAUUUUACUUCUUUUUUUCUUGCCUUAUUUAGAACUCCCAGAACUAUGUUGAAUAGAGUAGUGAGAAUGGACAUCCUUUCUUUGUACCCAGUGUUAGAGGAAAAGCAUUCAUUCUUUCAUCAAGUCUGAUAUUAGCUGUAGGUUUUUUAUAAAUGCUUUUUGUGAGUUUGAGGAAGUUACCUCUAUUCCUAGUUUUUGAGAGUUUUUUUUUUUCCCCAUGAAAUGAGAUUAAAUUUCAUGAAAUGAGAUUUUUCUGCUUCGAUUGGAAUGCAGUCAUGAUUUUUUUCUCCUUUUGCCUGUUGAUGUGGCGCCCCACAUUGAUUGAUUUUUAAAUGUCGAACCAGCCUUGCAUACCUGAAGUAAAUAGCACUUGGGCCAUGAUGCUUUGUUUUUUUGUUUUUGUUUUUGUAGUUUAUUUACUUAGGAGAGAGAGAGAAUGAACAGGGGAGGGGCAGAGAGAGAGGACAGUAUCUGAAGCAGGCUCUGUGCUGACAGCAGAGAGCCUGAUGCAGGGCUGGAAUUCAUGAACUGAUCAUGACCUGAGCCAAAGUCAGACUCUUAACUGACUGAGCACCCCGGAGCAUGGUGUUAUGUUCUUUUUAUAUAUUGCUAGAUUCAAUUUGCUAACACUUUGUUGAGGUUUUUGCAUCUAAAUUCAUGAGAUACUGGUCUGUGGUUUUCUUUUUUUGUAAUGUCUUGGGCCUCAUAAAACAAGUUGGGAAAUAAUUCCAUCCUCUUUUCUGGAAGAGAUUAUAUAAAAUUGGCAUUCCUUCCUGAAAUGUUUGAUAAAACUCUCCAGUGAAACCGGGGCCUGGAAUUUCUUUUCUUUCUUUCUUUUUUUUUAACAGGACUAUUCAGACUGUUUUUUUCAUGGCUAAAUUUUGGUAGUUUGUGGUUUUCAAAAAAUUGAUAAUUUCUUCUGAGUUGUCAAAUUUAUGAAUGUACACACUAAAAGAAUUAACCAAGUGGAUUUGGGAAGAUACAGUGCAGGUAUAAAUAUGAAGCAAUAGCUGAUGAAUAAAACCUCAAAGCCAUUUUAAAACAGCAUUGUUAUCUUGAAAGGACUGUUUGGAACCAAAUAUGUUACAGUUUGUUAUGGUUGCAAACUCAGAGACCUUGAAUUUGGGUAAGAAUCUAGAGUCAGUUAUUAGUUCAGGUGAAAGAAAGACUUCUGUGGAUUCUGAAUCUUCUAAUUCUUUAGAAGAAGUGAAAAAUUAGUUUGUCCUGGGAU